rnacentral:lncRNA from 1 species
GAACAUGGAUGCAUCACCAGUGCACUCUGCUGGACAUUAAGAUGUUGCUGCUACAAGCCAAAAUGCAAUGGUUGCAUAUGAGGCACCUGAGUACAGAGGUGAACCUCUGUCUAUGUUUGAAAGACAAGUGCUAAGCAGGCUGGACACACUCACAUAUGAGCAGAAGGCACACUAUGAAAUGACUUACGCCAGGUUUCAACACUUG